GCACCCCCCCUUUAGCACCGGUUCUUGAAAACCGGUGCCAAAAUAAAUGGGCGGGAUUGGAAAUUUCAGAGUUGGCAUUGGUUCCAACCUAAAUCGGUGCCAAAUCCUUUAAUUAGCACCGGUUGAAACCGGUGCCAACCAUUAAAAAAAAAUACAAAAGAAGGGAAUGGAGUUGGCACCAGUUUAGAGCGAACCGGUGGCAAUUAUUGCAAUUAGCUCCGGUUCGAACCGGUACCAUUUAAAACAACAAAAAGCCGAGUUUUUUUACAUAACUCCUUAUUUCUCCUUUAAUUCGUUUUUCAUUCUCUCUCCUUCAAUUCCUUAUCUCUCAUCUCUCAUCUCUGUUCAUCUCUCUCCAACCAAGCACAACAACCAACACAACAACCAAGCCGCCGCCGUCAACCACAACAAACAUCGCCGCCGCCUAAAAUCAAAAAUUUGAGGUUUGAAGUUUCUGAUUUUUUAAUUUUCGGUUUGAAGGUCGUGAAUUUGCUGAGUAUGAAGUUCGAAGUUUCUGGGUUGUAAAAUAACAAAUUCAGCAAUUUCUCUGUUUUUCUUUUUAAUAAAUUGUAAAACAACAAUUUAUUUAAUGAUUAUAGCCUUGUUCGAUUUAUUGUUUUGGAUUGUAUGCUGAAAUUGGAUUGAUGAAUAAAUUGGAUUGAUGAAUAAAUUGUAUGCUGAAAUAUUUUUUUUU